rnacentral:lncRNA from 1 species
GAGGGAGUGAGUAUUUCCUGGUUGAACGACAGAGAAACUGUUCCCAGAUACAAGUCUGCCCAAUAUUUGCCUUUCAUGGUAGCAUUUACUGCAGGAGCUGAAACACCAAAAUGAACACAUUGAAAACCUAAAGGUAUGUAUGUCAAUUUUUACAAUGCUUGAAAAUUGGGAAAUAAAGAAAAGUUGAAAAAAAUAAACAUGUCAAUCAUAAUCCCAUCUCCAAGAGAUAACAAGUAUUAACAUCCUGCUUUCACAGACAUCCUACACAGCCUAAGGAUUGGCUGAAGAUGUACCCCUGAGAGCCUUUUCCUUUAAGUGCGGUCAUGUGCACCAAAAGGAACUGAAGGACUUCCAAAAAGAUGCUCUCUCUACAUUGCAUCUCUGCCACCAGUCUUCCCGUCUCUCUCUCUCUCUAGAACAGCUGCUUGGAAGGAGCAAGCUGCCCACAGUAUGUUCAGUCACAUGGAGAGACACUUCUCUGUAUUGGAGCCAACAUUUACGGAGAAAGAAGAGCUCAGCCUGGGUCAUGUUCCCACUGGAUCACUGCACUAGCAUGAGUGAAUAAAAAAUGGGGAAUCAACGUUUAUAGUCAAAA